AAAGCAACAUCUGUCCUCUUUGUGCACAUAGUUCCGAUGUGCAAUCCAAUAAUAUACAGCUUGAGAAAUAAUGAUAUGAAGCAGGCCCUCAGAAAAGCAUUACAUGACUUUGCAAAGAGGUACUUUGAUGGCCAUUGAAUUGUAGACCCUUGAUAUCACAUGUUCACAAACCUUUACCUGCUCAUUAAGAAGUUCACAUAAUGCAUUUCUGAUUUAUAAAGCUGAUAGUCAUCUACACCCUGUUGCAAAUUAUUAUGCAAAUGAUAUUUUUCUCAUUUACCUAAAUAAUUGAUGUAAAUAACAGUCA